ensembl:lncRNA
CUGGUUCUGUGAGCAAGAGGGUAUGGGACUCAGCACACGUCCUUCUCCAGCGGGCAGUUCGGAGACAUAAGUACUACGCUGAUGCCCGUUGCACCACGACUCCAACCUACUAACUGGGCGAUUGAGUUUGGCUCUCCAAACGGGAUAUUCAUUUCUGGCUGCCCUGCAGGAAGCUGUGUCCCCAUUAUGUCUGUCCUUUCCCUAUCACGAGAACCCAAGAUACCACCUCCUCCCGAGGUCAACUCCAACGAGACCAUCUACUGAGUCAAAGAGAUCCUAGACUCCUGACGGCGGGACGGCCGGCUCAGAUACAUUGGGAGGGUUACUGUCCCGAGGAAAGAUCAUGGGUGGACAGAGAUGAUGUUCUAGACCCAUCACUAGACUAUUUGGCCUGCCUUAUAUUUUGUAAAGCUGUAACUGAGCUUUUGUUUAUAUUUGACUACUGAGAUCAAUUAAAGACUGCCUGCCUUUGAGUUACCUGAGCCUCUGAGUUUGCCCUUCCUUCUGCACAUGGGUCUUCUAAGAACCUGUCUUUCCCAGUGGACCAGAGGUAGAGAACUAGCUUUCCCUUACUGGGAGACCCGGGUUUGAGACAUUGUGACACAGACACACCAGCCUCUCUAACCACCUACACCACACAAUUACCAGAUUACUGAUUAUGGACACUUGAUUCCAUUUGCCAUACGCCUUUAUCAAGCCUCUCACCUCAUUCCCUCAUCAACUGGUCUCAAGGUUGCACACCUUCUCUGCUCUCACCUCUUACCUGUCAAGAAUCCCAUGGCCCCGUGUCUCUCACUCCCCAGUGGACUUUCCCUGGAAGCAUUAAGAUAAAAACAUACAUUCAUCAGUUUAUGAGCUUCAGUGACUGUUAAUGUUUGAACUUACUGUUUUGAAUAUACCUUCAGUUUGUGGCAAUAAAGAAACUCUGAAUCGAUUAUUCAUUGUGUGCCUCUUUAUCCAGUUGUGACACAUGCACUAUAAUUACGGAGAAUAAUAAUUGCCUCAGCAAUCACUGUUGACUUUUAAAUCCAUAAGGUCCAAGUGAGUACAUGUGAUACUGUUUAAUCAAACAAGCUUUCACAAAUCUUCACUGAUGGCUGAAAGAGAUACCAGAAAUCAAAGCUUGAUUAGCGCCAGUAAUGAUUUAUUUAAGACUUAGAUCAAAGUGUUGUGGUGGAGCCACCGAUCUUAGUUUAUGAAAGAGAAAACAAGCAGAGCAAAUGUCAGGUUUGUCAAGACAUGCUUACAAAGAUGAGAAUGCAAAGACCACAAUCUCGUCUGCCACACUUUUUUUGACAGCACAUGGAAAUUGAUAUAUAAUUUUAAUCAAAUAUGGUUAUUGAAAGCCUUUAAUCAAAUGGGUUAUUAUACC